CGGUGCUUGCACUGGUCAAUCUAGUGGCGAACGGGUGAGUAACACGUGGGUAACCUGCCCAUCAGAGGGGGAUAACAUCCGGAAACGGAUGCUAAAACCGCAUAGGUCUUCGAGCCGCAUGGCUUGAAGAGGAAAAGAGGCGCAAGCUUCUGCUGAUGGAUGGACCCGCGGUGCAUUAGCUAGUUGGUGAGGUAACGGCUCACCAAGGCCGUGAUGCAUAGCCGACCUGAGAGGGUGAUCGGCCACAUUGGGACUGAGACACGGCCCAAACUCCUACGGGAGGCAGCAGUAGGGAAUCUUCCGCAAUGGACGCAAGUCUGACGGAGCAACGCCGCGUGAGUGAAGAAGGUUUUCGGAUCGUAAAACUCUGUUGUUAGAGAAGAACAAGUGCUAGAGUAACUGUUAGCGCCUUGACGGUAUCUAACCAGAAAGCCACGGCCAACUACGUGCCAGCAGCCGCGGUAAUACGUAGGUGGCAAGCGUUGUCCGGAUUUAUUGGGCGUAAAGCGAGCGCAGGCGGUUCCUUAAGUCUGAUGUGAAAGCCCCCGGCUCAACCGGGGAGGGUCAUUGGAAACUGGGGAACUUGAGUGCAGAAGAGGAGAGUGGAAUUCCAUGUGUAGCGGUGAAAUGCGUAGAUAUAUGGAGGAACACCAGUGGCGAAGGCGACUCUCUGGUCUG
rnacentral:rRNA from 1 species